AAGGAGAGAAGAAAAUGGGGGCGGAAGAUGCAAUAGAGGUCAAGAAUCUGAGAAUUAGCCUGAAAUAUUUCCUCUGCAGCAGAGGAUAUGGUGGCAGCCGUUGCCACAGUGGGUCCUUUGUGGCAGGGGCUGUUCAUGGUUUGUAAUGAGACAGCGCCCAGCACCCAAGGCAGGGUGAAGGUGGGCACAGUGAGGAUGGGACCCAGAGCCAAAGCAAGCAGUGCCACCAGCUGGGGCAUCCUGGGGUAGACAGGUAAGGAUGUGCUGCCAUGCCUCCCUGUGAGCCAGGUAUGGCAGUGCCCAGAAAGCAUUUAAAAAGCAUUUGGCUCAGUACCUCAGGGUUCUGGCCGCUUCACCCCAGAUCCCUCAAAGCCUUCCUACUCCUUCAUGACAUGCAGUUUUAGGCUAAAAAUAAUCAGAAGUAUAAUGCAAUCCAGAAGGAUGUUAUUUUUAUUCUUUUUUUUUUCUUUUUUUUCUUUCUUUUUUUGGCUGCUGGGAAUGAAAUCGGACAAGAAAUGUGUUAGGAACAGUGCGUUCCUUUCCAUUGUCACACAAGGCGUGUCCAGAGAGCAAGUGCGGUUUGUUCCUUUCUCUGACCAGGUGUUGCUUAUAAGAUGCACAAGAAAUAUGUUUCAAAUAAAAACCAUAACCCUUAAACAAAAGGUAAUUGUUCUCCAAAUUCAGCCACUUCCAGUGCCCAGCAUGCUCUCUGGCAAUAUGCAGGCUUCCAGUUGCUUUCCAUUUUCUUGGCAGUUGCAUUCCAGCAGGAUUUUAUCCAAGCACUGUUUAUAUGUACAGAAACGGCUCCUAAUGUCUGAGGGCUGAGCCUUAGGAAGCCGCUGUCACUGCCUGGGACCACAUUUGUUCUGUUCCCUGGUUUGUGAGAACUCCAACCCACCUGGGGGCACAAACUGCACUGUGAAAUGACUUCUCAUAUCUUUUCUUACAAUUCCAGCCAUACCGUCAUGGAGGAUCAGAGCUGAGCGGUGCCUGCUGACUGCUACAAUGAGCCACGAUCUUGAAGCCAUGCAACCAGCGCGCAUCUCCAGACCCAUACAGUGGGAGGACCGAGGUCUUCAGUUUGUUUUUAAGGAGGAUUGUUUUGAAGAUUCAGAAAACUCUAUUUUCUGGGGAAAUGAGCUUGGAGGAUAAGGCAGAGAUGGUGGCAGGGUGGACACUGCUGACUGUGUGCUACUGACUUAGCUGUGUGACACAGCACACACGUACUGCAGUGAGAAGAAAUUGAAGCUGUUUCUCUAACACCAGGUGCACGAGUGUGCAGUACAGGAGGCUGUGUGACUGAUGGGCAGAGAUGGGGCUGCACUCACUGCUGGUACUCGGGAGGAGGAGCCUUCCUGAGGUAACAAACUGCUGAACCCCGCUUAAUCCUUCUCAGCCUGAGCAGGUCUCUGCAUGCCUGUCCUGGCUGGGCCUGAGUCUUGAUGCGGUCACUCACGCCAAAUAUACCAUGUCACAAAAACUGCAGCUUGGUACUAAUGUGCAACUGCAAUAAUAUGCAAAGGGUGUUCCUAAGGAAUAAUCAGUUCCCAGAGUGAACUUCUGAUCUGUUGGUUGCACACUGGCACCACAGUGCAUCUGUGCAGUAUGCAUAGUGGCACCUAAGGAUUAACAGUUGAGGCUUCAGGAGAAGGGCACACGUUCCUUACUAAACUUACUGAAUUCUGCAGCAGUCUGAUGUCUAACAAAAUACCUGUGCUUUGGUUUUCAUGGAGCUUUAAUUCCUCAGUUGGGGUAGGUGAUGGGGUGGGCAGAACUGGUGAAGAAUCACCUGAGCUGAAUGCAGUUUUGUUUGACUUGGGGAGCUGUUUUAUGAGAUCAUUCUUGCACCUUAAAUAAUGAACUUAAAAAACCCCAGUGUGCAGUGGUGAGUAUUGGCUCUCCCUUAUAUGGCAGCUAAAACCCAGAGUUUCUACCACAGAUGGUACAGGCAAAUCACAUUAAGAAUUUUGGCUUUUCAGUAGGAUGCCCAGCACAGCUCUGCCCAGACGUGUAGCGAAUCCUUGGCACUGUCCUGAAGAACGCACAGAAAACUACAAAGCGUGAGUUGCUUACACGCUGUUUACGAAUGCAGAAAUAUUUUGCAGUGUUCUCUUUUUGCCUACAUCCAUGACAGGAUUCAAACCUAAAACGAGAGAGAUUCUAGGUGCCCAACCCCAAUUGCUGAGCCAAACCCUCAGCUUGAUGGCAGCAAGGCCUCCAUGGCAGGGGUGGGAUUGUGAGCACAUUUGACUAGUACAGACCAAACGCUGUGUGUAAUUGAGGAAGCCAUCACAAUCAAACAUCUCUGAUCCUUAUCCUGCCCCCUUCAGCUUGAUUCCUUCAUCAGCAUUCACUCACAUCUCUCAGAGGCUGGAAAUAUUACCCGGAGCUCUCCUUCAGCAUUGUACUAUCUAAAACAAGUCCCUGCCUGUAAAGAGCUGUUUUCUUCAAAACGGUCUUUGCUCCCGCCCCCAUGGUUAGCUUGGAAAGCUGGCAGCAAAACUCUGCAUCUUUGAAAUAACUUAAGCUCAGCCCAUUGCUGCCUUCAGUUAGUUGGUUUCACAGUUACCUCUUUGUGAUUCUUCAAGGUAAUAUCUGGCAUACAGCAGCCAACCUGGCAACCAUUUGAAUACAGUGUCUGCUGGAGAAAAAAAGAAGAGGGAAUAUCAUCACUGCAAAGCCUAACCUUCUGAAUUCAGCCUAAAAGAACUAUUGCAUGCCAUCUCGUGGCACCACACUGCUAUUUCCCAGAAACACACUGGAGCUCCAGCCUUGUCAGUGAAGUUUAAUGUUUGAUGGGUUUGCUUAAAAAAAUGGCUGCCAGGGUCCUAGAAAGAGCCUAUUGUAUGGCCAGGCUGAAGCGAUGAAGCAUUCCUCACCGGUAACACUUCACCCAUGUUUGUGCUCUGACUUUGUAGCCUCAGCAGCUGAAUCCUGGCACUGCAGCAGAGACUCAGUCUGCAGAUUCCACCUUUUCAGUGUGCAUGAGUGAUUACUCGAGCAGAGCUGUAGCUGCACUUGCAACAAGCAUCUCAACCACCGGCCUCAGAGCAGCCUUCUGCAGAACAGGAUGCUCCACCUUACAAUAAUGGCUUCUUAGCUGGGAGGUACAGCUGAAGUUCUGCACCACCGAAUCACUUCCACAUAUGGAGCUGUGUUAUCUUCAGCAGAACCGCUUCUGGCUACACUGAAACACCGCUUUGCUUCCAUUACUCUCAUAAUCAUCACAGCGUGGAUAUAUAAAGCAGUCAGGAAAGGACCUUAAAAUACCUAACAAAAAUGCAUGACUUCAGCCUAAGCAUUCUGUUCUAUUUUUUGGCUACUGGAGACAACUAUGCAACUAUAGAAGUCCACAGCUUGCAGUUGGAAAGCAUAAAACAGUCCAGCUAACUUGAGAUGUUAGUGCAAAGAACAUCAUACCACACUAACAACAGAGAAGGCACUGAGUCAUGAUCAGCAUCCUGGUAACAAGUGCUCUACGUUGGGUAUGUUAUGAAACUUGUAUUUAUACUGCUCUUGGAUUAGAGGAGGAAAGCAGCUUUGUUGAGGACUCCAACUGGGACAGCAUGUAAAGAAGUUCCAGGAAAGGCUGUUAGGCCAGUGAGGCUUUAUGAAGCUCAGGAGUAGCAGAUGUUCUUUGUAUGCAGCAAAGAAAAGAGGGAACAUCUUCUUAUUCCAGAGUUUAAUUUUGUUAUAUGUAAUGCUGGAGUUAGAAAAUAAAAUAAAUGGAGAGAUACACUGUGAGAAGCACUGAGCCCUGCACUUAACAAGGAAGAAGGACUUCAAACACCAAGCAGUCGAGAAAAUAAAUUUGCUAGCAGUGUGAAAAAGUAUUUGGGGUCUUUAACAGAUCUCUAAAUAGAUAAUGGAUGAUGAGGGAACAUGCACUGGAGGGCCAGAGGAAAGACAAGUGCUUAAGGGAUAAAGAUAAGACAGGACAACAAAUAUAUUAGAUAAGGCUGCCACUUGAACUAAUUCGAAAUGUUGGGAUCAGCAAUCAAAUGCAGCUACUGUUCCAGAGAGUGACCAGGCACACUGCAUCGCCAACAGGAGACAAGCUCCAGAUAGCUGCUGACAGCUAGAAAUCAGACUUCAUGUGUAAGUGAAAUUCCAGUCAUACAGGAGGACUGGAGUAGUGUGGAAGCAUCUGAUCCCAGGAGCUGUGGCUGUCAGCUGGAACACAGCACACAUACCAGGCUACACAAAGUGUAUCAUCUGCUCUAAUUCCACAGUGUUCAUCCCAGCAUCGGUUCCAAACAAACAGGAAUUACUCGCAAGCAGAUUUUGUGACUCAUUGCUACAGCGGAUCUAACCACUGUGGACCCUGCCUGCAUGCCAAAGUCUGGCCUUCCUUCUUGGAUCCAUUCCUCAGGAGAAGAACCUUUUUACUGAUGUGUAGCAGAGAGCUGAGCUAAAACCAGAAAAAACUUACAGUAUUAAACAAAGAAAUGUGCCAUUUUGUCACACAGGGUGAAAUUCCAGGAAUUUAUUGCUGUACGUUUGCUUAAUCCAUUAAUUUGUCUUACAGUCGUCAUGAAGUGCCAAAUUGUGUGCUACAUGUAACAUAGAUCCUGUUAUUCCCUUCCGAAUGCCAUUUUACAGUGGGUGUGUGGAGCAACACAGCAGCAGUCACAAAACAUGGCUCGAGCUUCUCUCAAGAGCUUAAAAAUAAAGAUUUGUAUACAAGCUGAAUACCGACAUGUUACUUAACAGGUCACCCAGCAGUUCUAAUAGGAAUAUCUUCAGGUGGAAGUUUGCGCUGUUAAAAUUUACGACUCAGACCAAACAUCCUCAUCCUCACUGCGGUAACAAGAUACUUGCAAAGACAAGAACUAUGGUAUGUAAAUGUCGCACGCAGGAACUGCUCCAUUUCUAUCAGAAGCAAAAACUGCUACUUAGAAGCAAGGAGAGGCCUAGCUAAGGCGAUCAGCCUGUGUUAAAAACGUACACAUCCAGGUUUGGCAGUGGAAUUCUGUUGACCACCUUGAAUGUUUCUUUAUUGUGGGUUUUUUUUGGUUAAGUACAAGUACUCUUUCCCUCCCACCAAGAACACUUUAUAAAUCCCCUUAUUUUCAUUAUAGCUCCAUAUUAUUUACAGGACUCCUAAAGAUUAAGUACAAACUAGUAUGAAAUUAAUGAUAGCUUGCUCUUCAAAUAUGUAUCCCAUGGCUAAAUAAAUACCAAGCCAUUCUGA